UCUUUCUUUUCUUUCUUUCUUUUAUAGGUUCACACCACCACAUCCACCUAAUUCCUUCCUUCCUUCCUUCCUUCCUUCCUUCCUUCCUGCCUGCCUGCCUGCCUGCCUUCCUUCCUUCUUUCUUUCCUUUCUUCUGUCUUCUUUCUUUCUGAGAUGGUUUCUGGCUACAUUGCCUAGGCUUGUCUUGAACUCUUGACUUUAAGCAAUCCUCCCACCAUUACUUUCCAAAGCACUGGGACUCCAGCUGUGAGCCACUGCACCUGGCCCAUUGCUAACUUUAAUCCUCAGACCCCAUUUAAGUUUUGCUGAUCAUCCCAAUUAUACACUUUAUAACAAAAGGUUCCAGUUCAAAAUCACACAGCACAUUUAGUUGUCAUUUUAGUUUCCUUCAGUCUAGAAGAAGUCCUCAGUUUUGUAUUGACUUUUACAAUAUUGACACUUUUCAAAGGUUAGUUGUUUGGUAAAAUGUCAUUUAAUUUGGGGUUGUCUGAUAUUUCUUCAUGAUUACACUCAGGUGAUGCAUCUUUGAUAGGUGUGAUGGUUAAUGGUGGGUGUUAACUUGACUAGAUUAAGGGAUACCUAGAUAGCUGGUAAAACAUUAUUUUUGUGUGUGUUUGUGUGAGGGAAAGAUUUGUCCCCAAUAUGGGUGGGCACCAGACAAUCAUCUGGGGGCUCACCAGAUAGAACAAAAAGGCAGAGGAAAGGUGAAUUGAGCCUCUCUACUGGAGCUGGGACAUCCUUAUUCUCCUGCCCUUGGACGGCAGAACUCUAGGCUUUCCAGCCUUUGGACUCUGAUUUGCACCAGUGGCUGACUGGGCUCUCAGGCCUUCAAACUCAGACUGAGAAUUAGACCAUCAGCUUCAACACUCUGUGCUGGGAAGCUCCCACACCUGGAUGUUUUCCUUACUCUCUUUGAGCUUUGGCAGCCCACAGCAGAUUGCCCCAUUUUGGUGGACACUCUUCUUAUUCAGCUAGGGUUUUAAAACCCCUGUGGGGCAGCCAUCCUAGGGAAUCUCUGCUCUAUCUGAGCUCUGACAUUCUGCUCUGGGCCACGGUGCCUCUCCCCUUUGGGGUCAAAUGCUUCCCUUACUCUGCCUCAGUUCGUGGGUUUAGGACUGCACUAUUUGAAGGAAAAGGAAGGAAAGCGAAAAGGGGAAGGAAAAAGAGGAAAAGAAGAUAGAUCUAUUUUAAAUUAUGAAAAUGGGAAGAAAAACAAUAUAUAUUUUGUAUUUGUUUUCUAUACUAAUGAGAAAUGGAGCCUCUAGGUCUCUUAAAAGACUAAAAUAUUAAGCAUGUUUUUAAACUUUACAUUUUUUUUUUCCUUAGGGGACUAAUGUAAUGCUUAAUAAUUAGGCUCAGAUUCCUUGUUUGUAUACUUAUUUGGGGCCAGAAGGGAAGUAUAUUUAAUUAUACAAUCUUCCCUUUUUUUUUAAUAUGUCCAAAAGCAUUGGAAAAUAUUGGGAAUUAACAAUUAUUGGUGAAGAGACUAGACUGUAAAGCUAUUGUAUUUUAAAAUAAAGGUCAGCAUUGCUCUUUAAUUAUUUCAUUCAAUUUUGCCCCAAAGGCAUUUAUCCUUGUUGUUAUCCAAUGAAUUCCACUGUAAACCCUAUUACUUUAAUCCAGAUAAAGUCACAAGUUAUUUCUGACUCCAUUUUGUGGUUCUAUGGAGGUAAUUACUACCAAGUGAUCAGUGAUUGAGUCUGAAAAAAUGUAUUUAAUUAUUAUUAAUUGAAUAACCACUGAAUUAAUAAAACUGUCUUGGGACAUUAUAUUGGAAAUUAAUUGAAUAUAAUAUGUCGAGCUUCAAGAAGUUAUGCCCUGAGGGAGAUAAUGGAGGAGAAACAAUCUUUUCCAUGUAGGUGAAAGACACUUAAUAAAUGCUCAUUAAAUUAAAUGUUUUCCUAACAUUUGGAAGCUGGGGUCACUCAUGGGAGAUAAAUGACAAUUUCAUUUAUCUUUAGUUAGAUAAAUGAAAUUCUUAAGUUAGAAAGUUCUUAAUUUAUAAUUCUUGUCAUGCAAAUUCUUAAGUUAGAAAAUCCAGUGACUUGUCAGAUUUUAAAUAUCUAAAUAGUAAGCUGGAUUUAAAAUAAUCAAUCUAUUAGUUGAUUAUUUACUUUCUUAUGUAAAAUAUAGUAAUGAGGUCAGGUUAAAUUAAGGUAAAUAAUGUAAUGUUAACAGCUUAAAAAUCUCCACAAUACCAUCCCUUUCUUUUUCUUUUAAAAUGUAAGGUGUCAAGUAAUUUCUUAAAUAAUAAUAUAGAAUUAUAUAUAGCUUUUCUGUCUCUGACUAGCUUGACGUUGCAUUGUUCCAUGAUUUCAGCUUAUAAUUCUUACUAACCAUAAUGUGGAAGAAUUGCAGGGCCUUAAUGCAAGCCAUGAUUCUGGAAUUACCUCAUAAAUUUACAAAAAAAAAAAAAAAAAAAAAAAGAAGUGGAUGUUUUGCGCUUGGUAGUGUAAAGAAAGGGUUUGAAGAAGUUGUCACAGUAAGUACUUCUGCAGAAUUCACAGAAUCCAGGAAGUUAAAAUCUCCCACUGAAAGAAGAGAUGACCGUAAUAGCCAACAAUACAUUUAUUGAUUCAGCAUGACCUUAAAAAUGCAUUUCACUUCUUCGCUAAAUGCAAGUGUGUAUUUGUUAAAAACAUUAAACAAAGUCUGCAUAUAGCUUCAAGGAUUCAAUAAUAGUAAAGAGCAUCAAAUAACAGAGUCAAAAGAAACAAACUGAAGGAAACUGUGAGCAAAGAUGAAAAGAGGAAGGUCUCUGGAAACAGUCAAGAAGAAAGAUGACUGACCAUUGAAUGAGAUUCCCAUUCAAGUUCUGAGAAGACAGAAAAGCAAUAAAGUGAUGAGUCAAUAGGAAAAGUACUUUGCUAAGAGGCAAGAACAACACAUUUGCUUUCAGAAGUGAAUAAUCCUGAGACUUGAAGAAUAUAUUUUGAUUUCUAUCCUUCAUUUAUUUUUGUUCAAAUUUUUGUGUCUGAUAACAGCUUAGAGGACUUUGGGAACUACUGCUUUAUGUCCAUAUUUUAAGGCAGUCAUUUACAACACCCCUUUAAGUCCCUGUCCUCCUUCCAUUCCCCACCCAACCUCUGGACCAUUUCCUAACAGACUCCAUUGUGAAAUUAUUUGAACUAAAAAAAGCUUGCCUGAGGAAACAGCAUUCUUUUAAAUUUAUGGAGCUUAAGGAUCUUAAACAGGUAAUUUUUCGAAGCAGUAAACUUGGUUAGGAGGGAAGAAAGGGCUGCCUUCCGGAAGGCUAGUUUGAGUUAAAUUCAGAUUCAGAAAAAUAACACUUUUGGGCUCAUUUGCUAACAAUUCAACAGCAGUUUAGGAGAUUUAAAAAGGAAUGGAUAGAUAUUCAGACCACUGACUACUCAUUCUGAACCCAGAAGUCCAGAAAGUUUCUGAGGUUUUCUAGAUUGCAUCAUGUAUAAUAUCAAAUCCUCAUACAUAACAAAACCCAAACCAUCUGACUAUAAAGUCUAUGGUUCUCAAUAAUGUUAAGAAGUCUUAUUCUACCUGUGGGAAUCAAGAUUAUUGUCCCUACUUCUCUUUAUCCUAUAAUAAAAUGAUAUGUUCUUGUCCUUGGCCCUGGGAAUUUGAAGUGCAUUCUACUGUGGCAAGAUUGUAUUUUGCAUCCUUCUAAUGUAGGCCUGGCCAUCUUACCUCUUUGGGCCAAUGGAAUGUGGGUGGAGUUGACAGUGUGUUUGUUCUAAGCCAAGGUCUUCAGGGGCAUUGCAUGUCCUGCACCCGCCUCCCUUUCAUCACCAUGAGAAAAAAAUGCUAUAGGAAGGUGCAGCCACUUCAGCCUGGGCCUAGAAAGGAGACACGAGGAGCAUACCUGAAUCCAACUAAAAGUCUCGGUUCAGCCUGGCCCUCCUAUGUCCAGAUGCCUUGCAGACCUGUGUGGAGAUAUGUCAAUGUUGGUUGUAUAAGUCACUAAUAUGCUGCUUCACAGGCUUAGAUUUCAAAAUUUACUUAGUAUAAAUCCUAAAGAUCAAAUGACAUUACAAAUGGCAUCAUUGUCCUGACGUACUCCAAAUGUUCUUUCAGAAUAAACUGCCUCAGAGCUUCCAGAUAAAAAAUGUAAGUCCUAGAUUAAGUUAUUUUUAAUGUCACUUAAAAUAUCUCACCUCAUUUUUUUCACUAUGAUGAAUAUAUGAGCCAUUACUGGACUGUCAAAUUAAAAAUAGCAAACCAAUUUGCAUGAAAAAAUAGCCUACCAUAGAGCCAUUGUAAAGAAAAACCCAGAACUUUGGGACAACCCAAUUCUUUGCCUUCUGUAUACCUGCACCUGAGCAGCUGAAUGUGGAGGGAGGAAACUGGUAGAGAAAAUCCACUCUGCUGGCUGGUGUACGUAAGAUUUAUUUUAACACAGUCAGUCCCACCCCACUUUUAUGGUAAGUUACUUUGUUAGUUUGUGCUCGCAUUGUUAUAAAGAAACACUGGAGACUGAGUAAUUUAUGAGAAAAGAGGUUUAAUUGGCUCAUGGUUCUGCAGACUGUACAAGAAGCAUGGCAGCAUCUGCUUCUGGGGAGGCUUCAGGGAGCUUUUACUCAUGGUGGGAGGCAAAGUGGGAGCAGGCACCUCCCAGGGCAAAAGCAGGAGCAAGAGAGUGAAGGAGGGAGUGCUGUACACUUUUAAAUGACCAGAUCUCAUGAGAACUCACUCACUAUGGUGAGGACAAUGGUAUCAAGAGGGAUGGUGCUAAACCAGUCAUUAGAAAUCCGCCCCCAUGCUCCAAUUACCCGCCACCAUGCCCCACCUCCAACACUGGGGAUUAGAUUUCAAUAUGAAAUUUGGACAGGGACACACAUUCAAACUAUAUCAGUUAUCUUUUUCUUUCACCAAGAGGGACCAUUUCACAUAUUCUCCUCUCCCCUCAGACCUCCAACACCUUCUCCUCUGGGCCUCACUCUUAGCUGAUGAUCUUGCUUCUUAGUUUACUGAGAAAAUAGAGGCAAUCAGGAGAGGUUUACCUUAUCUUCUACCUCCAACUCCAUCUGGCUGUGUAUCUAGAUGGUGUUGUCAUUCAAAUGGUCCCAGUCCCUGGGCCUAUAUGGGACAGCCUCUCGGCACUGAAUCUUUGAAGCCCAUCCUGGGCUGCCUCCUUGAGAACUUCCCUUCUGCAAUCGUGCUCUCUCCUUUCUGCAGCAUCAAUUUUCACCUCUUUGAGGGAUCAUUCCCAUCAGCAUACAAUGUAUGGUGUCUCUCCCAAGUUCUUCCCAAGUUAUUGCUGUUCUUUAUCACCAAACCAGUAAAAUAGCCUGUGUUUGCUGUUUCCAUGUCUUCACCUUCCAUUUUCUCUCUAACUCAUUCCAGUUAGGAUGUCAUCCUCAUGGCUUCAAGAAGCAAUUCUCAUCAGGGUCACUAGAGACCUCUAUGCUGCCAAAUAUCUUGGGUAAUACUCCUUUUUCUUUGAAAUACUCUCUUCACUUAAUUUCCCAUUCAUCAUCCUCUGCCAGUUUCUUCCUUUUAUUGGAGUCAUCUUCUGCAUUUCCUCUGCUUGCUGUAUCUGAUUUCCUGACCUUCUAAAUGUUGGAGUGCUAUAGAGACAAUGUCCUUGACUCUCUUUGGCUAUCUAUCAUACCCUUUUCUAGGUUAUUUUAACCAGCCCUAAGGUAUCUAUUUUCAGACAAAUCCCAAAUUUAUAUCUCCUCUAAGCUCCAAACUCACCUUUCCAUUUGUAUGUCAAAUAAACAUCUCAAACCAGACAUGUUCAAAACCAAACUCUUACCUUCCAUACCUGCUUCUUCCUCACUUUUUCCAAACUCAGUAAUGGUAACUGCAUUUGACCAGUAGCUCAGGCCAAAAUCUAGGUGUCAUGCUGAUAUUGUUCUUUCCUUCUCUCCCCAUGUGAAUCAGCAAAACCCACUGGCUCUAUCGUCAAACUAUCUGAAAUCUGACGAGUUCUCACUCUUCACACCUGUGCCCUUUUGGCUUCCUUUUGGAUUCUGUCAUGAUUGGCACCAGCACAGAUGGGAACAGGGAAAGGCCAGGCAUUUCUUCCCCCACUCCCUCUUUGAUUCAGGCCUGCAUCUGUAGAAGUCGCCACAUUCCUGCAACUCCAGAUGACCCUUGUCCAUGGCCCCAGCUGGCACUGGGCUCUCCUGUUCCAUUCUGUCUUUGCUCCUUCAGCUCUUGGAAUAGUACUGCCUUUUCUCUUUUGCUUUGCAUCCCAUUUAUGCCUCUGUAAACUUCAAAUGAAAUCUCUUCAUUUGUUAUAUCUGAGGGUGAAGCUCUUUUCUGCUGGGACCCUGAUAGACACACUGCUCUAUCUAAAAUAUCAUUCCUCUUCACUCCUCCUUCUCCCUUUAACUAUUUUUUCUUAGUAUUUACUAUUAACUAAAAUGUUUUAUCUGUUGUUUUGUCUUUGCUUUUCGUUUUUUUGUCCUCCCUCUCCUCUUCCUCAAAAGCUAUGCUUUCUGAGGGCUUUUAUUUUUAUUUCCACAUCUUCAUCCCUGGCUCCUAGAAGAACACCUGGUAGAGUUUCAUGUAAAUAUGUUUCUGUGAAAGUUGGUUAUGAAGUGUCAUGCAAUCUGGUGUCAUUACAUUAAGGGGAAAUGAAAAAGUGAGUUGAAUAUUAUGGCAUGGUUAUGUCUUUUUAAAAAAACCUCCCUAUCCAUAUAUAAUAUUGAGUAGUAUGAAAGAAGCAUAUACCCCCCAAAUAUUAACAGGGGUUACUUUCCUGGGAGUGGAUGGUAGAAUUCAGUGGAUUCAGUUUUCUCCUUUGUGCAUAUGUGCACAAUUUGAUUUUGUAGGAGAAAUAAGACCAUUGGAAACCUCUCUGAAGCUUUUGGAAAAAUUAGAAAAACUCUUCUCCCAACCCUAGUGGAGGCACAGACCUGCUGGGACUAGGAAAGUGGAUUUUAUUUCUCAGUGGUCACCAUUUUGAAAACACCACUGUACAACUUUAUGUGUUGGCUUUGUUUUUUUUUUUUAAUAUCAGAAAAACAUCAUUUAUAUAUGUCUUUCCCCUCAAUAUAUUUUCAAACCCACCUUUUAUGUUUUUUCAAAAAUGUUUUGACAUUACAUAACGAAACCAAAAUUUAUUAAUAGCUCCUUACUACUUUUUCUUGACAAAACAGAGUAUACUCAUGAGCAAGAAAGAAAACGAACAACAAACAAAAAGCUUAUAAAAUGAAGUAGGAAACUCAAUGUUAACAGCUUAACACAGAAAGCCAUUACAACAAUGAACAAAAAUCGCAAGUUAAUGAUGAAGUAACGUAGAAACAAAUUUACAAACUACUAAAAACCUGGAAUUGCCAAUUGUUCAGAAAUUCCACAGAUGGAUCAUGAGUGAUAUUUGACAGAUCCCACUGAAUUUUGAUGACUUGACUUCUGGUCAUGUACCCAACUAGAUGUUUUGGAAAAAGUGAGUCCAAGGGAACUUGAAUGCAGAGAUGCUCAACUAGACCCAAGAAAUUUUCAUGUCUGGAGAGCAGAAUUAAAUGUCAUGGAAUCUGGUAUCAUUACAUAAUAUAGAGAAAUAAGACUUUUGCAUUUCCAUCUGGUGCAGCUUGGUAAACCCCAGAGGUGGCCUCUCCAGGUCAGAGUUGAGACACAAGGUGAAAGGGUUUAAGAGUGGCAUAUGAUUUUCCAUGCUCUUUUCUCUGGACAUGGUGAUUGUGGAAGGAUAUUUUGAUGCAGAUGUCCAUACAACUGAAGUAUGCAGAGAUACCAAGACCUCAUGAAGGACAGCUUCAUUGAACCUCACCUGCCUCAGCACUCUAUGAGUGACAAGUAAACUGUGUGUAACACCACAAAGAUUUUGGGAUUGUUUGUUACCACAGCAUAAAUUAGCCUAUCUUGACCAAUUGAUUCACUUGUAAAUAUUACAUAAUUGUAGUACUUAUACAGUUUCAGGCAUCUUGGCAAUAAAUAUUCAUUAAUGGAUAGAAUUAAGAAUAAAUUUAACAUUCACUUAACAACUGACUAUAAAUUAUGGAAGUAGAUUGACUAGAACAGUUCAGUUCAGUUUGAUUUAUUGACUGAUACUGUGAUAGAUACUGAGAAUACAAAGAUAAAUUAGUUUUUAACCUGGAAGAUUUUGGUUGGAAGAUAAAAUUGGAAAGAUUGGUUACUGUCUGGGUAUGUAGGACAUUGAAUUAUAGACUGAGCCAUUUUACUUCAUCUUGUAGACAGUGGGAGGGAAAAGUAGGUAUCAAUGGAUUUUGAGCAAGGGAGAAGUACUAUUAAAUCGACAUUUUAGAAAAAUUAAUCUGCGAUGGUGAAGGAAAUACAAACAUACACAUUGAGAGGCUAUUUCAGUAAUCUAGGUGUGAGAAGAUAAGGGUCCAGGCUGGGGUGUUGGUGAUUGAAAUGAGAAGGCAUACUCAGAAAUGAGAGAAAUUAGAAAGUAAAAACAGGGCAUUGGAUAUGUGAGGGGUCAUGAGGUGAGAAGGAAGAAUGAUUAAUGAAUGACUCUUAGAUUCUCUGUGACACCACUGGGUGAAGUUUGGAGAAGGUAAGAAGAUGAUGAGAUCUUUUUGUUGUGUGUUCAACUUGAGGAAUGACAGCUCAUUCAUGCAGAAAUGUCCUUAACGGUAGUUUGUGAAGCAGGAUUGGAUGGAGCUUGGUAGAGAAGUUGAAGCCAAAGCUAGAAGAUUAUGGUAUAUUGAUCAUACUGGAAACAGUAAGGGUACAACUAUCUAAAAGGGAGCUUGUAAGAGAGAAAAGGGUAGUAGGGCUUUGAAAGAAAUCCUCAUUUAGGGACAUGAGACUGGAAAGGAAUUAGCAAAGGACACAGGGGAGUAAUCAGUAGGAUAGGUAAUUUUUACUGAGAAUUUACUAUACUAGGAAUUUCACAUGCAUUUUAUUAUCUAAUUUUCACAGCCUCCCCUAGGAGGAAGAGUUAUCCAAUUUAACAUGUGAACAAACUGAGACUGAUAGGAGUUUAAGAAUUUUCACUGAGGUCAAAUAGCGACUACAUGAUGAUGCCAGGUCUGCUUGAAAACAAAAUCUGUGUCCUUAACCAUUGUGAAAACUCAAAUGAUCUAAGUUUUACAUGAACCAGCUUGUUAUUGAGAAGGGGCUAGCCAACAGGGUCAUAUGCGAUAAAUUCAAGAGAAAUUAUGUUUGAGAACAGACCAUUGAUUUGAUGAACAGGAAGUGAUGGUUAUGAGUGGAAGUGAUAGUAGUGAGCAAGAGCCUCACCACAGGGGAUGAGGUAAAGGCAUGAGUGGGUGGUGCUGAAGGAAGGAAUUGGUAGAGACAACAAAUCAAGAAAUGUCAAGGGAAAGGAACAAGAGGAAGAGAUACAUCCUGGGGCAUCUCAGGGUUAAUUUCACAGGUAUAUUUAUUUCCAAGACAGAGACACCAUUUACAGAUAAGAUGAAAGGGCCCAAUGGAGCCAGAGAAUGGAGAUACCACAAAGAUGGUACCAGUGGAGUUGGUAAUUUUUGGGGGAGGAUAGAAAGACUGGGAUCUAAAGUCCAGGGGAAGGGAUCAGCUCUGGAGGGAGAAGAGCAACUAUUUGCUUCAGGACCAGAGGGGAAGACCAGCUGUAUCUUAAACUAGAGAUACUCCGGCAUCUCUUGAAUUUACUGGAUUUGGGGAAGUUCCCUUCACCACAUUGAUACCAGUGAAAGCCAAUUUUAAUUUAGAUUAGCUCAGAAUUAAAUUCCCCAUUUAUUAAAAUACCUAUGUGAAAAUGUGAGCUUGUUCUUUAAACUUAUAGAUAAAAAUAAGUUUUGUAAGAAAAAAAUUGUAGUUCUUUCAAGUUACAUCACUGAGUCCUUAGUACUUUGUUUUAGAAAACCUCUUCACCUGCUGAGCUCAUUUCCAGUGUCUGGUUUGAGUUCUGACCCUAAAACUGCUGUUUAAUAAAAUAAAUACUUUUUGCUCUGGAAGCUUGAAGUCAUUUUUUCUUUUCUUUUUCUUUCUUUUUUUUUUUUUUUUGAGAGUCUUGCUCUGUUGCCCAGGCUGGAGUGCAGUGGUGUGAUCCUGGCUCACUGCACUAUUCACCUCCUGGGUUCAAGCAGUUCUCCUGCCUCAGCGGAAGAGUAGUUGGCACUACAGAUGUGUGCCACCACACCAGCUAAUUUUUGUGUUUUUUUAGUAGAGAUGAGGUUUCGUCAUGUUGGCCAGGUUGGCCUUGAGCUCCUGAUAUCAGGUGAUCCACCCGCCUUGGCCUCCCAGAGUGCUGGGAUUAUAGGCAUGAGCCACCACACCUGGCCUGGCAGCUUUAAGUCUUUAAUAUACACAUCUGAAUUAUUUUUAUAAUAACUUAUUGGUUUCUUAUAUAAAUUCCAAGGCAUAUCUAAUAGUCUGUCAUUGCAAUCUGAAUCAGCUUUUUUUUCUAAGCAAACAAAAUUAAAAGGGCUUUAGGGUUAAUUACAUGAUUAAACAUUUAGCGACUCCCAAAAACUUAGUGAAAUGAAAUGUGUAGAAAUUGUUGACUCAGUAUUCUAAAUAAGUCUACUCUUCAGGAAUGUCCAUGGCUUUGGCAGGAUUCAAGGAACAUGAAGAUUAGGGGAAAUUUUUAAAUGAGAUUUAUAAAGGAACAAGAACACAAUGAUAUAAAACAUAAGAAAGGAAAAAAAAUAAGAAAUCUAGUAUUUUUGUCAGAAGCAAGUUUUCUCAUGAAAAUAAAAAAUAUAUAAUUUAAUUUGCAUUUUUGGGGGGUCAACUCUGGUUUAUUUUGUUGGUUUUGUUUAUUUAUGUGCUUGAAAGAUUUGGCUGCUGGGUCCUUGUAAGUCUUGGGGAACUCUGAGCUUCAUUCCUCUUGACUUGCCAAGUGGUGUAGGGAAAGUUGCUUCAUCUUUUAUAUUUAUAUUUUUGAAAGUAUUUGUGAGUUAUAUGAAAAGCUGAACAGUACUUCACAUUAUAGAACAGCUGGAGUAAACUGAGUGGGGCCGAGGAGACAGAUUGUGCCACUCACUUUCCAUGGGACUCUGUUGGGCUCACUGGGUAGUUAGUUCUGUGGUUCAGGGUUGGCUUCACCAGCUUCACUUGUGGCUUUGGGACACUACUUUUUCUCCACACUCUCUUCCUCCCCCAGCUUCUUUGCUGACUCCUCUUCCUUGAUCCAGCUCUGAAAUGCAAAGAUUCUCUGAAGGUCUAUCUCCAUACCCUUCUCUUCUAUCAUUACCCAUGUGCUAGUCCAAUCUUUUUCACUCCCAACGUUCCUGCCAUGUUUCCACAUACCAGUCAGACGUUUGUGCCUGUGUGCCCCAUAGGUACUUUAAACCCAACACCUCCAAAAUUUAGCAUGUCUUCCAGUUCCUUUAUCAGAAUGCUCCCCUUUCUGGACUCUGUGUUGAUUAAGAGCAUUGCUGGCCGGGUGCAGUGGCUCACGCCUGUAAUCCCAGCACUUUGGGAGGCCGAGGCGGGUAGAUCACGAGGUCAGGAGUUGGAGUCCAGUCUGGCCAACAUAGUGAAACUGCGUCUCUACUAAAAAUACAAAAAUGUAGCCAGGUAUAGUGGUGUGCGCCUGUAAUCCCAGCUACUGGAGAGGUUGAGGCAAGAGAAUCACGUGAACUCGAGAGGCGGAGGUUGCAGUGAGCUGAGAAAAUGCCACUGCACUCCAGCCCGAGCGAUAU